GACGAGUGAAAUCGGCUGAGAAAAAGUGGGAAGUCUGUCUGUGGCCUCAACUUUUCCGGGAAAGAGAUUUCUUUUCCCGGAAAGAAUAACCACCGAAAUAUCCUUAUUUGGAUAAAGUUAUCAGUUUUUUCAACAAUUUCUUCCGUGCAAGCAAACUACAAACCAAAAACUCGCGGAUUUUGUGUGUGUCCAUUUGUCUUAAUUUGAAGAAAACCCAAAAGGAAGGAAGAAAAGAAAUCUCGUAGAUUUUCAAAAAUGGAUUUCUGGCCGGAAUUUCUCGCUAGCAGUUGGGGAAAAGAGUUCGUCGGCGGCGGAAUCGGCGGCGUUGCAGGCGUCGUCUCCGGCUACCCACUCGACACCCUUCGCAUUCGACAACAACACUCCACCUCCGGUUCCGCCCUAAGCGUCCUCCGCAACAUCGUGUCCAAUGGCGGCCCCACCGCUCUCUUCCGAGGAAUGGGUGCUCCACUCGCUUCCGUCACUUUCCAGAACGCCGUUGUUUUUCAGACAAAUGCCGUACUCUGCAGGGUGAUCGAUCCGGCGGCGAGUCAAACCCGUCCGCCGUCGUACAAGGCAGUGGCAUUAGGCGGAUUCGGCACCGGAGCAUUACAGAGCCUAAUUUUAACACCCGUAGAGCUCAUCAAAAUCCGUCUUCAAUUACAGGAUUUGGGAAAUUCAAGCCACUCAGACGUGGGAUCGUCUCGGCUCGGGCCGAUGCAGGUUGCGAAGAACAUUUUCAAAACCGAAGGCUACAGAGGGCUAUACAGAGGCUUAACGAUCACGAUGCUCAGAGACGCUCCUUCGCACUGUUUCUACUUCUGGACUUACCAAUUCAUGAGAGAAAAGCUUCAUCCCGGCUGCAGAAACACCGGACAAGAGUCCUUGAGAACGAUGAUCGUCGCCGGCGGACUCGCCGGAGUCGCCAGUUGGGUUUGCUGUUACCCACUCGACGUUGUGAAAACCAGACUUCAAGCUCAGUCAAAAAUUUCGUUUCAAAAGUACAAUGGAAUUAUGGAUUGUUUCUACAAAAGCGUCAAGGAAGAAGGGUACAGUGUUUUGUGGCGUGGAUUGGGAACUGCCAUUGCCAGAGCUUUUGUGGUUAAUGGCGCCGUUUUCUCUGCUUAUGAGCUCAGUUUGAGGUGUCUGUUCAGCAAUGGCGGCUUGCAUGCUGAUCAUACGAUUUGAAACGAAAAUGGACGAACAGAGAAAAAUCCCACGUUUCUGUUUUCGAUUCCAUAGAUGAAGACUGCAAAUAAGUUGAUGAAUUUGGAAUCCUUCUCGACUUUGUCGGGUUCUGUAUUUUAAUGUCAUGCCGCGCAUCCGUGGUCUGUCGGUUCUUGGCCGUUGGAUCUUCAUAGUCGGCUCCACGAGACCGUUGGAUGUCAGUAUUCCCUCGGCCGAAAAAAAAUAGUGGGACCCACUGUAACCACAGGUGACUCAAAGUUGGUGGGUUUUAGGUAAAAAGCUGUCCCCACAAUUUGCACGUUUUA